GGAGGAGCGUUCUCACGCCGAGAGGAGGAGGGAACUAUGUCAUGUUUUCAUUUGUUCGGCCGCAACUAAUGGUAAUACCAUUUUUUAAUUGCAUUUUUAUUUCCUGAUUUUUUUUUCUUUACUGUGUAUUGAUUCGUUGGAUUUUACUAAACAUAUGUGAAAAUACAGGGGCCGCCAGUACCAAACUUGCAUAUGCCGCGUGAAUUAAUGGCGAAGAUUGUAAGCUACGUUGCGGAAGAAGGUAUCGUUGAGCUGAAAAGC
rnacentral:lncRNA from 1 species